rnacentral:rRNA from 1 species
UACGGGGGGAGCAAGCGUUGUUCGGAUUUACUGGGCGUAAAGGGCGCGUAGGCGGCCAGCACAAGUCAGUUGUGAAAUCUCCGGGCUUAACUCGGAAAGGUCAACUGAUACUGUGCGGCUAGAGUGCAGAAGGGGCAACUGGAAUUCUCGGUGUAGCGGUGAAAUGCGUAGAUAUCGAGAGGAACACCGGUGGCGAAGGCGGUUCUCUGGGCAUGUCCUGACGCUGAGGAGCGAAAGUGUGGGGAGCGAACAGG